rnacentral:rRNA from 1 species
CAGACGCUGGCGGCAGGCCUACACAUGCAAGUCGAACGUGAAGCCACCUUCGGGUGGUGGAAAGUGGCAGACGGGUGAGUAACGCGUGGGAACGUGCCUUUCGGUUCGGGAUAACCCAGGGAAACUUGGGCUAAUACCGGAUACGCCCUUCGGGGGAAAGAUUCAUUGCCGAAAGAUCGGCCCGCGUCGGAUUAGCUAGUUGGUGGGGUAAAAGCCUACCAAGGCGACGAUCCGUAGCUGGUCUGAGAGGAUGACCAGCCACACUGGGACUGAGACACGGCCCAGACUCCUACGGGAGGCAGCAGUGGGGAAUAUUGGACAAUGGGCGCAAGCCUGAUCCAGCCAUGCCGCGUGGGUGAAGAAGGCCUUAGGGUUGUAAACCCCUUUCAGCGGGGAAGAUAAUGACGGUACCCGCAGAAGAAGUCCCGGCUAACUCCGUGCCAGCAGCCGCGGUAAUACGGAGGGGACUAGCGUUGUUCGGAAUUACUGGGCGUAAAGCGCACGUAGGCGGAUUUGUAAGUCAGGGGUGAAUCCCGAG